GAAGGAUUUCUCUGGGAUACCUGGCACUUUUCUUGGCUUGAUUCUUAGGAUUACACAGUUCGGUUUUGCUGUUGCUUCAAUGGCUUCCAUGGCUAGCGCUAAAACCCCGCGUUUCUUCAAUUUCACUACAUUUUGGUUCAAUAGACUUAUAAGAUAAGUUAUUAGAAAGAUCUCGAUUAACGUUUUGGAUAGAAGCAUUUUACUGGAUAGAAUAUUAUGGCGAAAGUUGAUCAUGUAUCUGAUUCCACUUAGUGAGAUAAGCUUCAACAACCAUGCUUGAAUGUUGGAUUGAAAUAUCUUAAUACUGACUGUUCCAUUGGUUUUUCAGUUCCUUGAUGUCUUCAAUGGCUUUACAAAGCCUUUGGAGUUUUGCACUUGCUUUGUUGGAUGCGCAUGCUUUGGUGACAAAGAAGAUCUUGCUUAACCCUGUAAUAAUUGGCUUCUAUGCUGUUGGAGAUGGGGUUAGUUUCUUAGUAAAUUUAUACUUUUCCUAAUUGGUUUGUUAGACACACCUAGGAAUUGCCCGGCCUGCCGGGCCUGUCUGAUUUGCCCACACUUUUUCAUGGGACGGGUCAAAGUUUUAGACCCGCAUCCUCUAAUGUGCUCGCACAUUUUUACAGGACGGGUUAAGAUUUUAGACCCACACUUAGGGGUGUUCAUGGGUUGGGUAAACCCAAUAAAUCCAGUAAAACCCACCCAAACCGAUCCAAAAAAGUGGGUUGGGUUGGGUUAUUGGGUGAAUACGGUUUUCAAAAAUGAAAACCCAUUCAAAAUAAUUGGGUUAUGGGUAAACCCACACCCAACCCACAAAACCCAUGGGUUAUUGAGUGACUAUAUUUUUCUCUUUUUUGUAAUUUGACAAGUGAUGACUUUGAUGUUUUUAA